GGGGGAGGCGGGGGGGGUGCCGGACACGGGCGAGGCGGGCGAGACCUUCGGGGCUAGUGGCGCACGGGUGCGUAACGCGUGGGAACCUGCCCUUAGGUUCGGAAUAACUCCCCGAAAGGGGUGCUAAUACCGGAUAAUGUCUUCGGACCAAAGAUUUCUCGCCUUGGGAUGGGCCCGCGUUGGAUUCGCUAGUUGGUAGGGUAAAAGCCUACCAAGGCGACGAUCCAUAGCUGGUCUGCGAGGAUGAUCAGCCACACUGGGACUGAGACACGGCCCAGACUCCUACGGGAGGCAGCAGUGGGGAAUAUUGGACAAUGGGCGAAAGCCUGAUCCAGCAAUGCCGCGUGAGUGAUGAAGGCCUUAGGGUUGUAAAGCUCUUUUACCCGGGAUGAUAAUGACAGUACCGGGAGAAUAAGCUCCGGCUAACUCCGUG
rnacentral:rRNA from 1 species